rnacentral:rRNA from 1 species
GUCCACGCCCUAACGAUGUCAACUGGUUGUUGGGAGGGUUUCUUCUCAGUAACGUAGCUAACGCGUGAAGUUGACCGCCUGGGAGUACGGCCGCAAGGUUGAAACUCAAAGGAAUUGACGGGACCCGCACAAGCGGUGGAUGAUGUGGUUUAAUUCGACGCAACGCGAAAACCUUACCUACCCUUGACAUGUCUGGAAUUUUGCAGAGAUGUGAAAGUGCUCGAAAAGAGAACCAGAACACAGGUGCUGCAUGGCCGUCGU